rnacentral:misc_RNA from 1 species
GCAAACUUGGUCAUUUAGAGGAAGUAAAAGUCGUAACAAGGUUUCCGUAGGUGAACCUGCGGAAGGAUCAUUACUGAGUUAUUGGAGAUUCAUCUCCUAAACUCCCACCCUGUUUACAUUCUUUGUUGCUUUGGCGGUUUAGGAUUUCGGUCCACCGCCGCCAGAGACAUUUUAAAACUCUGUUAUAAAUUGAAGUCUAAGUCUUAAAUUAAACAAGUCAAAACUUUCAACAACGGAUCUCUUGGUUCCCGCAUCGAUGAAGAACGCAGC